AUCUGUUCGUUGCUGGUUCCACUACACCCAAGGUCUGUGGGAGGAGCCGGGAUCAUGCUCCAACAUCAUGACGGUCUCAGGUCAAAGGAUCACAUACACAACUUCCACUAGAGAAUCAUUAGUUGACAUAUAAAUAAGACUCCAUCUGAUAUUCUCUCACUAGUCUAUUCAAUGAACUAAUUCUCUAAUGAACAUCUAUAUCCUUAUAUUAGUAUCACCACACAAGUGGUUGU
rnacentral:lncRNA from 1 species